rnacentral:rRNA from 1 species
UGCAGUCGAGCGAACGGACGAGAGUGCUUGCUCUCUCUGAUGUUAGCGGCGGACGGGUGAGUAACGCGUGGGUAACCUACCUAUAAGACUGGGAUAACUUCGGGAAACCGGAGCUAAUACCGGAUAAUAUUUAGCUUCGCAUGAAGCAAUAUUGAAAGACGGUUCUGCUGUCACUUAUAGAUGGACCCGCGGUGUAUUAGCUAGUUGGUGAGGUAACGGCUCACCAAGGCUACGAUACAUAACCGACCUGAGAGGGUGAUCGGCCACGCUGGGACUGACACACGGCCCAGACUCCUACGGGAGGCAACAGUAGGGAAUCUUCCGCAAUGGACAAAAGUCUGACGGAGCAGCGCCGCGUGAGUGAAGAAGGUUUUCGGAUCGUACAACUCUGUUGUAAGGGAAGAACAAGUACGUUAUUAACUGAGCGUACCUUGACGGAACCUUACCAGAAAGCCUCGGCUAACUACGUGGCAGCAGCCGCGAUAAUACGUACGUGGCAAGCGUUAUCCGGGAAUUAUUGGGCGUAAAGCGCGCGUAUGCGGUCUCAUGAGUCUGAUGUGAAAUCCCCCGGCUCAACCGGGGAGAGUCAUUGGAAACUGGGAGACUUGAGUGCAGAAGAAGAUAGUGGUAUUUCCAUG